UACAGAGGUCUCAAGCGUUGUUCGGAUUCAUUGGGCGUAAAGGGUGCGUAGGCGGUGCGGUAAGUCGGGUGUGAAAUCUCGGAGCUUAACUCCGAAACUGCAUUCGAUACUGCCGUGCUUGAGGACUGGAGAGGGGACUGGAAUUUACGGUGUAGCGGUGAAAUGCGUAGAUAUCGUAAGGAAGACCAGUGGCGAAGGCGGGUCUCUGGACAGUUCCUGACGCUGAGGCACGAAGGCCAGGGGAGCAAACGGG
rnacentral:rRNA from 1 species